UUUUUCACUUCAAAUUUGACGGCUCUUCAUUUUAACAAAUUUUGGAUCUAAACUACAAAAAAGUAGAGAGACCGACCCGACCAUCAAAUCAUUUCUGUUAAUUUUCCUUCUUCUUCGUCUUCUUCUUUAUCAUAUUCCUUUUUCCCAUUUGCACAUUCCUGAAACUCCAAAGUGAGUUUUCCACAACGGAUGAUUGCUUUGACACAAAUCCCAAAGCGCUUAGAGUGUACAGAGUGACCAUAAAAGGGAUCCUAGUUUGUAAUGGCCCAGUUUGGUAGAACAACUGAAAAACCUGGCAUAAAUUGGGAACGAGCAUUUGAUCUUUAUGUAAAUGCAAUUGCAUGUGACAAUGAGCUUUUAUGGGUCCAAGCUACAACUAAGCUAGCCAAACUGUCGAAACACGCGCCUGAGGAUCUCUUAGCACGCACGAUCCCUGUCCUUGUAGAGCUUCUUAGAAGGAUCCCUUCCACUGAUCUGAGUCCUUCAAUUCAGGAAGCUGCUGCUCACUGCUUGAAAUGUGUUGCUUGUCGAGGGGAAGGAAGAUUGGCUGUACUUAUUGGUGAAUCAGGUGCCAUCCCUUCUCUUUUGAGUUUAUUAUUGCAUGCUGAUGGGAGUUUGCGAAGGGUUUUAUUGAAAUGCCUUAGAAAUAGUGUCACGUUUGCUGGUCAUAACCGUGAGAUUGUAGUUAGACAUGGUGGGCUGGAAAUCAUUCUCAAUUUGUUGAAUACCUGCUCGGAUGAUCUAAAGCGAUACUUGCUAGAAAUUCUCAGUGCAUUGGCUCUUCUGAGAGAAGUUAGGAGGACCAUUUUGAUUUCCAGGGGUGUUUGUUUUCUUGUUGAAGCUGCUAGACGUGGCAGCAUGGUAUCUAGAUGUAGAGCUGCUCAGGCAAUUGGGUUGCUUGGAUUGGUCAAGAGAGCAAGGCGCACGCUUGUUGACUCGGGCACAUUUUCAGUGCUUCUAGAACUACUUCAGGUUGGGGAUACUUCAACUAAAGUCGUAGCUGCUAAUGCACUUGGUGUGAUCUCAUCUCAUGUUGAUUACAUUAGACCCCUUGCUAAUGCUGGAGCGAUUCCUCUUUACGCUGACCUUCUGCAAGGAACUGAUCCCAUGGGUAAGGAGAUUGCAGAGGAUGUCUUUUGCAUUCUAGCAGUGGUAGAAGAGAAUGGUGUAGCAAUUGUUGAACAUUUGGUUAGAAUCCUAAGAGGAGAUAGUGCCGAAGCUAAAGCUGCGGCUGCUGAUGUAUUGUGGGAUCUCGCAGGUUACAAGCAUUUGCCAUCAGUUGUGCGAAAUUCAGGUGCAAUUCCUAUUCUAGUUCAGCUGUUGGAAGACCAAAACAUUGAUGUCAGGGAAAAGGUUUCUGGAGCUAUCACCCAGUUGAGUUACAAUGAAGCAGAUAGAGCUGCUCUUGCAAAUUCUGGAGCUAUUCCGCGAUUAGUAGAUAUGUUACAGGAUGAGUCGGAGGAAAUGAGAGAUAAUGCUGCAGAAGCUCUGGUCAAUUUCUCAGAGGAUCCAUCACUAGGUGAUAGAAUAUCAGAUGUGUUAAAUAGUCCUUCGUUCCAAAAUAUGCAAGAAAGACCGACGCAAAUUCAUGCUUCAGAUGCUUAUUUGGCUGCAUCUCUUAGAUAUAUGAAUACUGAGCAAUUAACUAUGGACCCUGCUGCUCUUAUCUGACUCCUCAUUCUGUCUUGAAUGUUAGAGUUAUCUUUUUAAAAGCAUUUUUUGAUUCUUCCCUUCUCUGAAACUUGUUUGAAUGAUUCAAGCAAAAGGGAAUAUAUAGUAUUGAUCUUGAAGUUAAAAAUAUUACACAAUGAUGAAUCAUCAUGAAAUUUAAAGAAGCUCAGUUCUCCGACUUCUUCUUCACUUGACUUCAUCGACAAGCUCCAGGCUGGCGUGGCCUACCUUCUUCCUCAAUAAACUGGUAAUGCCUGCUGCAUCUACUGCUUCUCCUAUUAUCACGACUUUAUCUUUCUUCUCCCCUUCUAGUGCCACCGAGUUGACUCCUACAUAAAGCACAGAGCAAAAUGAAGGUGGGAAAGAAACAAAGUUAAUGUUAUAUGAAAUUUGCUGUACCAGUUGACAUAGCAGCAAUCAUCAAGGCUUUUGAUUGACAUUUCUUGCAGUUAUGAUGUACUCUUAUGACAAUUUUUUGCUGCAGUAUUGCAUGUAAACUGUCUCAGCUUAACUAAAAUUGCAUAGCUGUUGAAAAAAUGAAC